rnacentral:rRNA from 1 species
GAUGAACGCUAGUUACAGGCUUAACACAUGCAAGUCGAGGGGAAACGACAUUGAAGCUUGCUUCGAUGGUCGUCGACCGGCGCACGGGUGAGUAACGCGUAUCCAACCUGCCUCUGACCAAGGGAUAACCCGUCGAAAGUCGGCCUAAUACCUUAUGCAGUCGUCGGAAGUCAUCUGAUGACGACGAAAGAUUUCAUCGGUGAGAGAUGGGGAUGCGUCUGAUUAGCUUGUUGGCGGGGUAACGGCCCACCAAGGCAACGAUCAGUAGGGGUUCGGAGAGGAAGGUCCCCCACAUUGGAACUGAGACACGGUCCAAAAUGCUACGGGAGGGAGCAGUGAGGAAUAUUGGUCAAGGGGCGAGAGCCUGAACCAGCCAAGUAGCGUGCAGGAGGACGGGCCUAUGGGUGGUAAACUGCUUUUAUGCGGGGAAAAAGUGAGGGACGGGUCCUUUAUUGCAGGUACCGCAUGAAUAAGGAACGGCUAAUUCCGUG